rnacentral:rRNA from 1 species
UACGUAGGGUGCGAGCGUUGUCCGGAAUUACUGGGCGUAAAGAGCUCGUAGGUGGUUUGUCGCGUUGUUCGUGAAAACCGGGGGCUUAACCCUCGGCGUGCGGGCGAUACGGGCAGACUUGAGUACUGCAGGGGAGACUGGAAUUCCUGGUGUAGCGGUGGAAUGCGCAGAUAUCAGGAGGAACACCGGUGGCGAAGGCGGGUCUCUGGGCCGAAAUUGACGCUGAGGAGCGAAAGCAUGGGGAGCGAACAGG